rnacentral:misc_RNA from 1 species
GAUGAAGAACGUAGCGAAAUGCGAUAAGUAAUGUGAAUUGCAGAAUUCAGUGAAUCAUCGAAUCUUUGAACGCACCUUGCGCCCUUUGGCCAUUCCGAAGGGCAUGCCUGUUUGAGUAUCAUGAACACCUCAACUCUUUAUGGUUUUCCAUGAUGAGCUUGGACUCUGGGGGUUUUGCUGGCUCACAGUCGGCUCCUCUAAAAUGAAUCAGCUUACCAGUGUUUGGUGGGUAUCAUGGGUGUGACAACUAUCUACGCUUGUGGUUUUUCCACCAGGUAACCUUCAGCAGUGGAGGUUCGCUGGAGCUCAUAGAUGUCUCUCCUCAGUGAGGACAGCCCUUUGAAUGUUUGAUCUCAAAUCAGGUAGGACUACCCGCUGAACUUAAGCAUAUCAAUAAGCGGAGGA